CCAAGGCACAGGAGGCUGUUUCAGUAGCGAUGCCUUAUCCCCAGCACCGCCAGCACGGCCGCCCGCCAGUGGCUCCGGCUGCGGCCGGCAGUGUGGAGCUGCUCUCCGCGCAAACACGGGUUACACACGCACCUCCUGCGGCAGCCGGCCGGCAUCGGGGACCCGCACGGCCAGCGCGGCCCCGGGGGGCCGUGUCCCGGGGGGCCGUGUCCCGGGGGCCGUGUCCCGGGGGCCGUGUCCCGGGCGGCCGUGUCCCGGGCGGCCGUGUCCGGGGGGGCCGUGUCCGGGGGGCCGUGUCCCGGGGGCCGUGUCCCGGGGGCCGUGUCCCGGGGGACAGCGCACGGGGAGCACGGCCGGGGCGGCGGCGGCUCCGGUGAGGCGGUGCUGCAUUGCGGGCACAGCCCGCCCCGCCCGGCCCCUCUGCCCUCGGGCCGCCCUCCGGAGAGCUCCGCUCCCGGCCCCGCUCCCAGCUCGACUCCCGGCCCCGCUCCCGGCCCCGCUGCCGCUCCCGCCCCUCAGCAGCAGGCCGCAGAGCCCGGGGAGGGGGAGCCUGCUCCUCUCUAGUUCCGCACGUCUCUCGCAGGGCCGAGGAUUACGAGCCAAACGCUGAGGUGUUCAGAGGAAGGAGCAGUGCUACAACAAGGAGCUCCAUUAACUGGCAGAAGCUGAUGAACCUGUGUCUGGUGUGUAGGACUGAAGCAGCACUGGUGUGGGAGAUAGCAGAGGGCUCUCUCUGAGCCUUGGUGGGCUUGGAAACACAGCUACAGGGAACUGUCCCUCUGUGUGUGGUUCAUCAGAUCCUCAGCUGCUGCAGGCAGUGCCUGGAGAAGUGAUCUCCCAGUGCUGGGCAGACCAUUCUUUGCCCGUUUUCCUGUCCCAGGAGCAGUCUCCUGGCAGUGAUCAGGAGCAGCAAUGCCGUGUGUCAGCCCAUCAUGAGUCAUAUUCACUUCCUGAAAUCCAUUCUCCACCCUCAGGACCAAAGCUCUCCAUUUAUAUGCCUCAACUUGUGAUGAUUACAGUCCAUUGAAUGCACAGGUUUGUGUAUGGUGGUGACUCAUCAAAGUGCAGAACAUUGUUUUGUCAUUUUUUCUGUGCUGCACCUGAGAUGUUCCACCAGUACCUGCCCUGGCUGUCAGAUGCUGCCUGCAAAAAUAUGUCUUCCCCAGUAAGAAGUAAGAAAAUGUCCAGCCCUUGACUCCACAGGUAUUGAUGGUGCAGAAAAGAACCACAAGACUCCACCACUUGCAAAUAACCAUGUUAAAAAAGCAGCAUUUAGGUUUUGGCCCAAGUAUGGAAUAAGUACUCCUAAGAAAUGGCAAUCCUGCAUGGGAAGAAGCCAGAGGAAUUGGGAAAUAACUGGUAAACAUUGUGUGUGUGUGAGGACAGGGGAAGAAGGCAGGCUGGAGAGUGACUUGUACUUCUUGUGGUUUUAUUAUAAUAGUGGCUGUAAAUUGUGAAGUGCUGCUCUACAAUUGCUGAAAUCGUGGCUGGCUUUGGCACUACUUACAGGUGUUACUGGUCUUAAGCACAGGGGCUUGUUUCCUACAUCUGCAUAAAGCAAAGUAUGGAUUGGUGAUGUGCUCAUCCACUGUCUCACUGAAAUGUAGCAGGGACUGCUCUCCUUUUCCCUGAGUGCUGCCUCUUUUCACGUCUGUUCUUUUUCUGCCAGACACCCCAGUUAAAACUGGUGCCCUGCUACUGAGAUCUGCUGUAAUGAAAGAGCCUUUCCUCCUUCCUUGUACAAGGCUUUCAUGAGCUCACUCCCGAAGGGAGGGGGGAUGAAGUAUGUGACUUAGGCAGGAACACAGGUGAUUGUGAUGGGAUUCAAAAGCUGUGACACAAAACCAGGCAAUUGCUUACCUUGGAAAAAGGUUUAAGAAAGAGACAGAUGAGGCAUAAUUGAGACAGAAGGAUGUUGAUUUCAUGGUUUAUUGUCACAUUAAAAAAGUAAUAUUACUGAUGAAUUAAUAUUUGCUUUUUAAUAUAAAAGUGCUUAUUCUUACAAAUCCUUAAGGCUCAUUCUGUUACAUUACAGUAGGAUUUUUCACCAUCCCAGAAACUGUGCUACAUGAGUUUUACAUGAACUGUGGACAUAGCAAAAUCUCCAAACAGUAAAACAAGUAAUUAAUAAUUUCAUUGCCUUUUGUAUGCAUUAUCCUGUUUAAUUGUGUAACAUAAUUUAACAUGAAAAUAAACAAAAGCAACAUUUUCUUUACUUUCUAGUUUGGCUUGGAACUGAUCCCCAAAAUAUUUCUAUUUAUUUUGAGCGAAUAGAACAAGUACAAUUGGUUUUAAAUCCCAAUUUUUUACUUGUAGAGCAGAAGGGAAGGAGUGAGACAGAGGAGCAUUACAGAUGUAGCAUUUACCCUAUGUUUCUCACUAAAGAGGAAAGGACUGACUGCAAAGCACAAGUACUGUUUAUAUGCCAUGUAUUUAUUUUUGUAAUGUCCCUAUGUUGUACUUAGGUAAACCUCCCACUGAAGCCAAUGUGAGUUUUGCCUGAGGGAGGAAUAAGACCAGGGCUCUCACAGGGGACAUUUUACAUUAAGUAUUUUAUUAUAUUUUUGUCUCACAAUGGAAGAAUGAAAUAGGUGAAAGUUACUAAAGCUCUUGCUCGUAUUGAUCACAAGUGGAAUAUGAUUUCUGGCAUAUACUAUGAUACACAGAUAAGAGUAUACCAUAUUUAUUUGUAGUCAUAAUCAGAGCUAUAUUAGUUGGAUGGGCAGUGAUUUUGCUAUUUCUACUUAAAUUUUAGAUAUUUAUUUAUUGUAAAAACUUUUUUUUUUCAAUAAUUGGGUCAAAAUGCAGCAACUAAAAAAAUACCUAAUGCAAAGAUAAAAAUAAUUUAAAGUAUUCUGGAGCAAAGGGAAAAAUGCUAGCCAAUCUAAUAAAUAAGGCAGUUUAAAGCA